UGGGGAAUAUUGGACAAUGGACCAAGAGUCUGAUCCAGCAAUUCUGUGUGCACGAUGAAGUUUUUCGGAAUGUAAAGUGCUUUCAGUUGGGAAGAAAAAAAUGACGGUACCAACAGAAGAAGUGACGGCUAAAUACGUGCCAGCAGCCGCGGUAAUACGUAUGUCACGAGCGUUAUCCGGAUUUAUUGGGCGUAAAGUGCGUCUAGGUGGUUAUGUAAGUCUGAUGUGAAAAUGCAGGGCUCAACUCUGUAUUGCGUUGGAAACUGUGUAGCUAGAGUACUGGAGAGGUAAGCGGAACUACAAGUGUAGAGGUGAAAUUCGUAGAUAUUUGUAGGAAUGCCGAUGGGGAAGCCAGCUUACUGGACAGAUACUGACGCUGAAGCGCGAAAGCGUGGGUAGCAAACAGGAUUAGAUACCCUGGUAGUCCACGCCGUAAACGAUGAUUACUAGGUGUUGGGGGUCGAACCUCAGCGCCCAAGCAAACGCGAUAAGUAAUCCGCCUGGGGAGUACGUACGCAAGUAUG
rnacentral:rRNA from 1 species